UGGUUCUGGCAUCGAUGAAGAACGCAGCGAAAUGCGAUAAGUAAUGCGAAUUGCAGAAUUCAGUGAGUCAUCGAAUCUUUGAACGCAUAUUGCGCCCUUUGGCAUUCCGAAGGGCAUGCCUGUUCGAGCGUCAUUAUCAACCCUCAAGCUCAGCUUGUAGUUGGAUAUGUCAUUUAUUGAGAUGACUUGUCCCAAAGACAUUGGCAGCGUCUUUUGACCCUUGAUGCAACGAGCUUUUUAAGCAAGCAUUAAAGUAGUCAAUCGAUUCUUGACCUAAAAUUUAUUUCUAAAAGGUUGACCUCGGAUCAGGUAGGAAUACCCGCUGA
rnacentral:misc_RNA from 1 species